UAUAACUCAUGCAAUAAUGAACACGUGAGGAGAUUAUAACACUUGACAGGAUCAGGAACACACUUUUCACCAGCUCAGACUCAAAUCAACAAGCUAACAAGAAGUCAGCUAAUCCACUGGAAAAACAAGCUAGCAUAGCAUGCUAGGUGGCUAACAGUGAGCUAGCCGGUUUGAAUGGUGUUGAGCGGAAGUCUCUCUUCUUCGUGGGAAACAGAGGAGACUCGAUUCAACACUUCUGAGGAAUUCCCAAAAACCGCACGACGACAGCUGCACUGACAGAGAGGAAGAUAAGAGGCGGAUUCUACGCCUUGAUGGAGUCAUCAGAGGAUAAAACACGAGGCGGUGAAAGUGCUCUUCACGCUCGAUUAGCCACACCGCCCUCCUCGCUGACUUACGUGGGAUUCUGCUGGAGUGCCAGGGCACAGAGUUGGUGACGUAGUCCUGUUUGGAGGCUGUGAUGAUGACCCAUGUCCCCGUGCGGUAUGGGAAGCUGACUCUCAGAACGCCAUCCCUGCCCGCCCUGCUGGACGCCAAGACGGUCUGAUUCCCGUGAACUUCCACCUGAGCGUCCGCCAAGGGGGACAGGUCGCUGUUGUCGAAAACCUGGACUUUAAUCUGCACCUCUGAAAGAAAAGGAAAAAAGAGAGAUUGAUCUUCUACCUUUAUUCAUCCGGCCACCUUGGCUCUGAUGCAAGAACGGCAUCAUUAUGCAGCAUCAUGAUGAUCCGGUCUCAGGUGACCUUCAUUAGAGGGGACCGUUAAUGUGAAACAACAGCAGCUGAGCAGAAACACUGUGGAACAAAAUCUGACACUUUGAGACUCCUUAGGGUCACAGGUCUGCAGCAAGAAGUGAAGAGUGCGACAUAUUCUUUGGUGGAUAGUGUUCUCUACAUAUUUGGAACAAGUCCCAUAAUUUGAGGCCUUAAAGGGGCGUUAAAUGAUAGGGAUGUUAAGAGGCACAAAUAUCUUGGCACUUUUAUCAAUGAUAAACUUACAUUCAAGCAUCAGGUUGACGCUGUUGGCAAAAAGGCUCAUCAAGAAUGUAUUUUCAUCAUAAGCUCAGGGGUUUUACUGUCAACAAGACUUUUAUGCAGAUGUUUUAUUUAAUCGCUUUUAACUCUUUCAAUGGUUAUUGUGAAGAUAUGCAGCAGGGUUGCGGGCACAUCCCUGCCUGACAUGUGGAGCCUUUAUCGAACCAGGACCCUCAGCAGAGCCUGGUCCAUCGUGGAGGACCCGUGCCAUCCUCUCUUUAGUGAGUUUCGCCGUCUUUCCUCGCAGAUACACGCUGCCAAAAAGCAGGACAAAUAGGAAGAGAAACUCUUCUGUCCUGCUAGCAACUGGCCUGCUUAAUGAUGCCACAUAACACUACUGUUUUUAUCUUGUGACUGUUCUAAAUGUUGUAAUGUUGUGGUGUAAUUUGUUGUACUGUUACAAAUUUCCCCCAGGGAUAAUAAAGAAACCUUGAACCUUGAGAGGCAAGGGAAGAAAACA